AUGCAAGUCGAACGAAGUAGCAAUACUUAGUGGCAGACGGGUGAGUAACAUGUAGGUAUCUGCCCUUUGGCCUGGAAUAACACGAGGAAACUUGUGCUAAUACCGGAUAAGUCUUUACGGAGAAAGCUUUAUGCACCAUUGGAGGAGCCUGCACUAGAUUAGUUUGUUGGUGGGGUAAUGGCCUACCAAGACUGUGAUCUAUAGCUGAUUUGAGAGGAUGAUCAGCCACAUUGGGACUGAGACACGGCCCAAACUCCUACGGGAGGCAGCAGUGGGGAAUCUUGCACAAUGGAGGAAACUCUGAUGCAGCGAUGCCGCGUGAGUGAAGAAGGCCUUUGGGUUGUAAAGCUCUUUCGUCGGGGAAGAAAAUGACUGUACCCGAAUAAGAAGGUCCGGCUAACU
rnacentral:rRNA from 1 species